rnacentral:lncRNA from 1 species
UCAGAGAAAUUUAUUUUAUAGACAUUCUCAACUCUCUUUCCCUUGAAUGUAAUGGAUUUGUCAUCCUUGUUGACUAGUGUGCAGUUGGUCUUACUGAACAUUACAUCAUACCCAUUGUCACAAAAUUGACUAAUGCUCAAUAGGUUAUGCUUCAGACCAUCUACUAGCCACACAUUAUUAAUUGAGAUGUAGGAAUUACCAAUAGUACUUGUACCAAUGAUUUUUCCAGUUUGGUUGCCACCAAACUUCACUUCUCCUCCAUCUUUCAUUGUAAGGGUAAGGAACAAAG